GACACCAAAGCCUUGCGUGCGGUGACGCCAGGGCGGCGGGCACUAGGACCCGGCACUGCCGCCGUACAAUGGCCCCUCUUCUCUCCCUCGGCCUGUUGGCCGCUUUACCUUGGCUCGCCCUGGGCCAGGACCGGGACCGGACGCCGGGGGCCCAGGAGCGGCCCUACAACGUGCUCAAGUACCAGAACGUCGUUCUGACUGUCAGUGUCCUGAGCGUUCUGCUUCUUAUCAUGAUUAUAAUGGUGAUCUGUGUGUACAAACCCAUCCGUCGGCGGUGAAAGUGUUGGGAGUUCUUCAUUUAAUUUCAGCUGAAUAGAGAUUUCUUUUUCAAUAUUGUGGUUUACAUUCCUGCUGGCACCCCAAGUGCAUGUGAAGCCAAUCACUUUGGCACUUUCCUUCCGUUUGACAACUUUGCCAAAGGAUUGGAACACUGUUAAUGGACUAAUAUGCGAGUCAACGUGAAGAUCUGGCUUCUGACCGACCUGUGAAAGUCCUGUGCAGUUAAAUGUACUCCAAACUACAUCCGAAAAGGUGGGAAGAAGUGGCCUACCACCAGAUCUUCAUUUAACAUCUAUAAAUAAUUUAUAUACAGUGCAAAGUGAGACAUAACUUCGAUAUUAUACUGUGCAAUGAACUGUCGAAAAUCCUUUAGUGACAAAAUUGGCAUUAUCCUUCUCAUCCCUCAUCCUUCGCAUUAAACAUUCAGUAACUGAUGGGCACUAACCAGAGUGCCACACAUGGAUAGAUAACAAUCUUUUUGUAACCUUCCUUGUGUGUAGUUGUAGUAGUAGUAGUAGUUGAGUAUCUGUUCUGCUUGUUUAGUAAAUUGUAGCAAAAGUCCAAGAGUUAUCGCAUGGAGAAAAGGUAGCAGGAACUCCAAAACCAAGUAUGUGGUCUAACUGACUAUACGUGCUACUUUUUAAUUAUGCAUUUACUUACUUUCCACUUGCUAGGAGGGUUGUUCUGGAUGCAGGGGUGGGUUAAGCUUAGAAAUUCAAUAAACUUUCAAGACAUGAUCAUGGAUCGAUUCAAGAUAUUCGGGAUGGAUUUAGGGAAAUGUUGGGGGGGUGGGGGGGGAAGCAUUGGAAAUUAUUUGUUAUUCACAAAUGCUUUGUGAAUAACAAAUAAUGUGAAUAAGAAAGAAGCCGAGUUAAUGUUUCAGAUUGGUACUUUUUUUUUCCUAGAGCUGACAUUCCUUAACUGACAGGAGUAUUUCUAACUGGAAUCUGUCUCGCCUAUCAAGGAUUGUAUUUUUUGACCAAUCUGGCUGGUGCAUGAAAUUGUUCUGGUGCAUCAAAAUUUACAACCUGCAUUAAUACUCUUAUAAACUUCCAUCCCUCCCAUCAAAUAAUACCAGUCUUAGAGAACAAAAAAAUUAACAAACUGACAUUUUAUUGUUACGAGAAAACACUAUUUUUCAAGAAAUCUGCAAUAGAACGGUGCAAUUAUUAUCUAUUUUAUCUACUAUUGAAUUUGUCAGUAGAUUGGUCGGCACAUGGUCGGUGGGCCGGACGGCCUGUUUCCCUAAAAUCUAAAGUCCACAUCAGGAUAAACCAGGAUUUGCAUGUUUUAACUUGCUAAAUAAUGAGAAAUCUUGAAAUUACUGAUUGGGGAUUUCAUAAGUGACUGCAGGUAAAUCUUUUAACUUAAAAAGUUGAUUAGGUUUUCAAAAACAAAUCACCAACUACAGAGGAAAUGUUACUGCAGAUGCUGAAAUCUGGAGCAAAAAAAACAAACUGCUGGAGGAACUUGGUGGGUCAGGCAGCAUAGAUCUGAAAAGCUACUAUCUAUCUCCUGUCUGAACUGGAUACUUCAAAACCAUUUGACCAGAUUAAUCUUGUAAUGUGUACUGAAGAUAAUUGAUGGUAAUUAAAUAAUGACACUUAUUUAAUUUAAAUUAAUUAUUGAUGCUGCUGAUAUGAUAAUCUUUCACAUCAAGCUGGAUAGUACCAGGAAAACUCAAUAUCCUGCACCUGGUUAAGGAUAUUAAACAUCUUGAUUUAUUUAUAUUUUUACGUUAUAUAUUCAGAUUAAAAGCAGAUUUUACCUUGCCUGUUACCAAAACCCUGGUGAGGCCACUGGAAUAUUGUGUAUAGAUCUACCUCUCUACUUAAGGAAGGAUUUACUUAUGAUGGGAGGGUGUGCAGCAAAGAUUAAUUUCUGGGAUGAACAGUUUGUUUUGUGAGGAGAAAUUAAGUAGACUAAUCCUUUACUCUCCAAAGGUUGAAAGAAUGAAAGUGAUCUAAUUGAAACAUACAAAGUUUUUAAAUGAUUUGUCAGGAUAGAUGCAGAUAAUGUCUCUUCAUAGGGCCUUCUCAACAGAUCAAAGAUCAGUCUGAAUAAGGGACAUUCUGAACUUGACGGAAGAGACAUUUCUUAAUUGAUGGGGAGUGAAAUGAAUCUUUGGACUACUUUAUGUGAGGGCUGUGGAGAUGAGACUGCUGUGUAUAUUCAGUGUGGGUUUGAUUUUUGGUUAUGAAAGCAUAUGGAGUUAGUAAGUGAAAAUGGAGCUGUGGAGGAAGAUCAGUCUAUGAUCCUAUUGAAUGGUAGAGAAGGUGCAGGAGGGUGAAUGCCAACUUCUUCUGGUAGCCGUCAAACAAUAUUAUUUCUUAGAACCAAUUGCUUUCAUCUUGCAAGCAUAUGACUGCUUACCACCUAGUGGAACCAGGGAAGCAGUUUAACUGGAACUUCACCCCCUGUAGGUAGACACAAAAAGCUGGAGUAACUCAGCGAGACAGGCAGCAUCUCUGGAGAGAAAGAAUGGGUGACGUUUCGGAUCGAGACUCACGAGUAGGUUUCGCUUUUGAAUCGCGCACCAUCCUGACUUGGAAAUAAAUUGCUGCUUCUUCAUCAUCACACAAUAUAAAUCCUGGAGGUCCGACAGCAUUGAGGGGGCACUUUCAACACAAUAACUACAACAGUUAAAGAAAGCAGCUCACCACCAAGGGCAUCGAUUUACUGAAACAAAUAUUUAUUAAAAGUUUUGAAAUGUAAAACAAGGCGGUGAACUCACUUAAUGCAGAUAGCAGGAUGUUAGUUCUUAAGUCUUGAGAGAAACUCUAAUCAAUGUUAGUAAUAAUAUGCACUGUUUACAAUCUGGCUUGUGUACUUGUACCUUUUUAUAAAACCAGUUGAUGGUAUUAUAGACAUGAUAUUUUGAAAGCUGUGUACCAUAUUUGGCCCAGCUUUAUUGUUUGCAAACAAAGCUAUUUUUUUUUUGCCACAUCUGUACUUAAAUGAAUCUACAGUAAGGUCUGUUUUUAGUACUGCUAAUAAUGCACAGAUUUACUUUGCACUAGUUAUUGUUUUAUAGAUGAACUGGAAUUUUUCCUUAAUCUUUAUUGCACACUGGACAAGUUAUUUAUUUUUAAGUUUUAAAUUUGUUUCAUUGAAUGUGUGAAAUUUACAUGUAUAGUACUGCUGCAUUUAUUUUCAUAGAAAAAUAGGUGCAGGAGUAGGCCAUUCGGCCCUUCGAGCAAGCACUGCCAUUCAAUAUGAUCAUGGCUGAUCAUCUAAAAUCAGUAACCUGUUCCUGCUUUUUCCCCCAUAUCCCUUGAUUCCUUUAGCCCCAAGAGCUUUCCUUUUGUAUCACAGUGGUUUGCCUCUCAGUAUGAUGAUAGGUUUUGAUUAAAUGAUUGCUUCUCCAAUUUUAA